GACGAACGCUGGCGGCGUGCUUAACACAUGCAAGUCGAACGGAAAGGCCCUGCUUUUGUGGGGUGCUCGAGUGGCGAACGGGUGAGUAACACGUGAGUAACCUGCCCUUGACUUUGGGAUAACUUCAGGAAACUGGGGCUAAUACCGGAUAGGAGCUCCUGCUGCAUGGUGGGGGUUGGAAAGUUUCGGCGGUUGGGGAUGGACUCGCGGCUUAUCAGCUUGUUGGUGGGGUAGUGGCUUACCAAGGCUUUGACGGGUAGCCGGCCUGAGAGGGUGACCGGCCACAUUGGGACUGAGAUACGGCCCAGACUCCUACGGGAGGCAGCAGUGGGGAAUAUUGCACAAUGGGCGGAAGCCUGAUGCAGCAACGCCGCGUGCGGGAUGACGGCCUUCGGGUUGUAAACCGCUUUCGCCUGUGACGAAGCGAGAGUGACGGUAAUGGGUAAAGAAGCAACGGCUAACUACGUG
rnacentral:rRNA from 1 species